GGUCUGUUGCUGGCAGGGCUGCUGUACCCUUUCGCGGUGUAUUUCGGCACGGCGCACUUUGCGCCUUGGCAGUUCGGCCUGCUAUUGGCCU
rnacentral:tRNA from 1 species